ensembl:lncRNA
GGGAGAGGGAGACAGGUUGGUGGGGGAGAGAAGAGUGGCAGGGAGAGGGAGACAGGUUGGUGGGGGAAGAAGAGUGGCAGGGAGAGGGAGACAGGUUGGUGGGGGAAGAAGAGUGGCAGGGAGAGGGAGACAGGUUGGUGGGGGGGAGAAGAGUGGCAGGGAGAGGGAGACAGGUUGGUGGGGGAGAGAAGAGUGGCAGGGAGACAGGUUGGUGGGGAAAGAAGAGUGGCAGGGAGAGGGAGACAGGUUGGUGGGGGAAGAAGAGAGGCAGGGAGAGGGAGACAGGUUGGUGAGGGAAGGAGAGUGGCAGGGAGAGGGAGACAGGUUGGUGGAGAGAGAAGAGAGGCAGGGAGAGGGAGACAGGUUGGUGGGGAGAGAAGAGAGGCAGGGAGAGGGAGACAGGUUGGUGGGGGAA